UAGUCUCGCACAGAUGCAUAUCAAUAAGCGGAGGAAAAGAAACUAACAAGGAUUCCCCUAGUAACGGCGAGUGAAGCGGGAAGAGCUCAAAUUUGAAAUCUUAAAGGGUUUCCCUUUACGAAUUGUAGUUUAAAGAAGUGUUUUCUGUUGAGGUUUUGGUAAAAGUUCUUUGGAGUAGGACAUCAUAGAGGGUGAGAAUCCCGUAUUUGACCUUUACUUUCAACUUUGUGAUACACUUUCAAAGAGUCGGAUUGUUUGGGAAUGCAGUCCAAAAUGGGUGGUAAAUUUCAUCUAAAGCUAAAUAUUGGCGAGAGACCGAUAGCGAACAAGUACCGUGAGGGAAAGAUGAAAAGAACUUUGAAAAGAGAGUUAAACAGUACGUGAAAUUGUCAAAAGGGAAGCGUUUGACACCAGUGUUGUUUUUCUGAAAAUCAAUUAAAGAACUGUUUAUGCUAAGCUGUUUAGACUUUAUCAGCUAUCUGUUUAGUUUUGAGCUUUUCUUUAAUGCACUUUUCAGUUAACAAGUCAACAUCAAUUUCUUUUGCUGUAAAAAAGCUUGAGGAAGGUGGCUUGAGAUUCGUCUUAAGUGUUUAUAGCCUCUUGCCUAUGCAGUCGGAGAGAUUGAGGUCUGCAGCGUAGAUCCUUCGGGGCUAAAUGCAUUUGUGCUAAGUUAUAGCAUUUCAUAGACAACUUGUUGACUAUGAUUUGUCUUGUAGCUUACUCGCUUAUGUUAUUUUACCUACGCUUAGGAUGUUGACAGCAGUAUAGACUGU
rnacentral:rRNA from 1 species